GUGUUGUGUGAAAGCAGAGAAAGUUGGCACUCCCCUCGACAAGCGUGAAAAAGGCCCUCAGGCCUUACGACAUGCAUGUAGUUAAGGCAUUGCCACCUACUUUAUGACAUCUAAAAACAGAUUUUA
rnacentral:ncRNA from 1 species